GAUGGAGCCUGAGAAGAUUACAAAAUGCUAAUGAGUGUAAGGAGAUAAAAUGAACAGAGAGUAAAAAGUCAUUCUACUGGGAAAGGAAAGG